GUUAGCAGAAAGUGGCGAACGGGUGAGUAACGCGUGGGUAAUCUACCCUGUAAGUGGGGGAUAACCCUCCGAAAGGAGGGCUAAUACCGCAUAAUAUCUUUAUCCCACAAGAGGUAAAGAUUAAAGAUGGCCUCUAUACUAUGCUAUCACUUCAGGAUGAGCCCGCGUCCUAUUAGUUAGUUGGUGGGGUAAUGGCCUACCAAGACUACAAUGGGUAGCCGGUCUGAGAGGAUGUACGGCCACACUGGGACUGAGAUACGGCCCAGACUCCUACGGGAGGCAGCAGUGGGGAAUAUUGCGCAAUGGGGGAAACCCUGACGCAGCGACGCCGCGUGGAUGAUGAAGGCCCUUGGGUUGUAAAAUCCUGUUCUGGGGGAAGAAAGCUUAAGAGUCCAAUAAACUUUUAAGCCUGACGGUACCCCAAGAGAAAGCUCCGGCUAAUUAUGUGCCAGCAGCCGCGGUAAUACAUAAGGAGCAAGCGUUGUCCGGAAUUAUUGGGCGUAAAGAGCCCGUAGGCGGUCUUAAAAGUCAGGUGUGAAAUUAUCAGGCUUAACCCGAUAAGGUCAUCUGAAACUCUAAGACUUGAGGAUAGAAGAGGAA
rnacentral:rRNA from 1 species